rnacentral:rRNA from 1 species
GAUGAACGCUGGCGGCGUGCCUAAUACAUGCAAGUCGAGCGAACGGACGAGAAGCUUGCUUCUCUGAUGUUAGCGGCGGACGGGUGAGUAACACGUGGAUAACCUACCUAUAAGACUGGGAUAACUUCGGGAAACCGGAGCUAAUACCGGUUAAUAUUUUGAACCGCAUGGUUCAAAAGUGAAAGACGGUCUUGCUGUCACUUAUAGAUGGAUCCGCGCUGCAUUAGCUAGUUGGUAAGGUAACGGCUUACCAAGGCAACGAUGCAUAGCCGACCUGAGAGGGUGAUCGGCCACACUGGAACUGAGACACGGUCCAGACUCCUACGGGAGGCAGCAGUAGGGAAUCUUCCGCAAUGGGCGAAAGCCUGACGGAGCAACGCCGCGUGAGUGAUGAAGGUCUUCGGUUCGUAAAACUCUGUUAUUAGGGAAGAACAUAUGUGUAAGUAACUGUGCACAUCUUGACGGUACCUAAUCAGAAAGCCACGGCUAACUACGUG